rnacentral:rRNA from 1 species
AAAUGAAUAGACGGGGACCCGCACAAGCAGUGGAGUAUGUGGUUUAAUUCGAAGCAACGCGAAGAACCUUACCAGGUCUUGACAUCGAGUGAAGAAUACAGAGAUGUGUUCGUCCUUCGGGACACAAAGACAGGUGGUGCAUGGUUGUCGUCAGCUCGUGUCGUGAGAUGUUGGGUUAAGUCCCGCAACGAGCGCAACCCUUACCGUUAGUUGCUACCGAAAGGAGCUCUCUAACGGGACUGCCGUUGACAAAACGGAGGAAGGUGGGGAUGACGUCAAAUCAUCAUGCCCCUUAUGACCUGGGCUACACACGUACUACAAUGGCAAUUAACAACGAGAAGCGAAGCCGUGAGGUCAAGCGAAUCUCCAAAAAUUGUCUCAGUUCGGAUUGCAGGCUGCAACUCGCCUGCAUGAAGUCGGAAUUGCUAGUAAUCGCGAAUCAGCAUGUCGCGGUGAAUACGUUCCCGGGUCUUGUACACACCGCCCGU